AGUAUUUGACCCCUUAGUACUUGGUGGCAAAACCCUUGUUGGUAAUCACAGAGAUCAGACGUGUCUUGUAGUUUGCACACAUCUCAGGAGGGAUUUUGUCCCACUCCUCUAUGCAGAUCCUCUCCAAGUGAUUAAGGUUUCAAAACUGACGAUUGUCAACUCAAACCUUCAGCUCCCUCCACAGAUUUUCUAUGGGAUUAAGGUUUGGAGAAUGGCUAGGCCACUCCGGGACCUUAAUGUGCUUCUUCUUGAGCCACUUCUUUGUUUUCUUGGCUGUGUGUUUUGGGUCAUUGUCAUGUCGGAAUACCUGUCCACUACCCAUUUUCAGUGUCCUGGCUGAGGGAAGGAGGUUCUCACCCAAGAUUUGAUGGUACAUGGCCCCUUGUCCCUUUCAGGUGCUGCAGUUGUCCUGUCCCCUUAGCAGAAAAACACCCCCAAAGCAUAAUGAUUC